GAUGAACGCUGGCGGCGUGCCUAAUACAUGCAAGUCGAGCGAACAGACGAGGAGCUUGCUCCUUUGACGUUAGCGGCGGACGGGUGAGUAACACGUAGGUAACCUACCUAUAAGACUGGGAUAACUUCGGGAAACCGGAGCUAAUACCGGAUAAUAUUUCGAACCGCAUGGUUCGUUAGUGAAAGAUGGCUUUGCUAUCACUUAUAGAUGGACCUGCGCCGUAUUAGCUAGUUGGUAAGGUAACGGCUUACCAAGGCAACGAUACGUAGCCGACCUGAGAGGGUGAUCGGCCACACUGGAACUGAGACACGGUCCAGACUCCUACGGGAGGCAGCAGUAGGGAAUCUUCCGCAAUGGGCGAAAGCCUGACGGAGCAACGCCGCGUGAGUGAUGAAGGUCUUCGGAUCGUAAAACUCUGUUAUUAGGGAAGAACAAACGUGUAAGUAACUGUGCACGUCUUGACGGUACCUAAUCAGAAAGCCACGGCUAACUACGUG
rnacentral:rRNA from 1 species